rnacentral:rRNA from 1 species
UACGUAGGGGGCAAGCGUUGUCCGGAUUCAUUGGGCGUAAAGAGCGUGUAGGCGGCCAGGUAGGUCUGCUGUGAAAACUCGAGGCUCAACCUCGAGACGUCGGCGGAAACCAUCUGGCUAGAGUCCGGAAGAGGAGAGUGGAAUUCCUGGUGUAGCGGUGAAAUGCGCAGAUAUCAGGAAGAACACCAAUGGCGAAAGCAGCUCUCUGGGACGGUACUGACGCUGAGACGCGAAAGCGUGGGGAGCGAACAGG